AAGUCGUAACAAGGUUUCCGUAGGUGAACCUGCGGAAGGAUCAUUAACGAAUAUCUAUGGCGUUGGUUGUAGCUGGCUCUUAGGAGCACUUGUGCACGCCCGUCAUUCAUAUCAUCUUUCCACCUGUGAACUACGUGUAGGCCUGGAUACCCCUCGCUUUGGUGACAAAGCGGAUGCAAGGAUUGCUGUGCCAACAAGGCCGGCUCUCUUUGAAUUUCCAGGUCCUAUGUCUUUUACACACCCCAUUCGAAUGAUGUAGAAUGUAGUCAAUGGGCUCUUAUGCCUAUAAAACACUAUACAACUUUCAACAACGGAUCUCUUGGCUCUC
rnacentral:misc_RNA from 1 species